rnacentral:rRNA from 1 species
AGAGUUUGAUCAUGGCUCAGGAUGAACGCUGGCGGCGUGCCUAACACAUGCAAGUCGAGCGAUUCUCUUCGGAGAAGAGCGGCGGACGGGUGAGUAACGCGUGGGUAACCUGCCCUGUACACACGGAUAACAUACCGAAAGGUAUGCUAAUACGAGAUAAUAUACUUUUAUCGCAUGGUAGAAGUAUCAAAGCUUUUGCGGUACAGGAUGGACCCGCGUCUGAUUAGCUAGUUGGUAAGGUAACGGGCUUACCAAGGCGACGAUCAGUAGCCGACCUGAGAGGGUGAUCGGCCACAUUGGAACUGAGACACGGUCCAAACUCCUACGGGAGGCAGCAGUGGGGAAUAUUGCACAAUGGGCGAAAGCCUGAUGCAGCAACGCCGCGUGAGCGAUGAAGGCCUUCGGGUCGUAAAGCUCUGUCCUCAAGGAAGAUAAUGACGGUACUUGAGGAGGAAGCCCCGGCUAACUACGUG